AGAAAGAAAGCGGCAGUAGAUCUGCAUCCAAAAAGACAUGAUUUCAUCUGUCCCUCGGAUGCAAAUUAUCAGCAUAUUAUUUGCUUUUCGGAGGAUUUAACUUCGCCCAAGAUCUCUCAAGCUCAUCUACGUGAACAGGGCUGCACUUCCUCAUCUUUCAUAAUGAGUGAAGAUGGAGAUGUUGGCUUGAGACCCACUGUACUGAGGAAAAGGAGCGACAGCAUGGAAAAACCAAUAGAUUUCCAAAAAGAAAGUGAUGCUACUACCUCCUUCACAGACAACAGUUUGUCAUCAUCGGCAGCAGCUAACCGCAAUAAGCCAGAAGAAGGCAAUCAAGGGGGGAAGACACAUGUAAAUACAGAUAUGAAAUCCUCUUGUUCUACGUAAAUGGUGGAUUAAAGAGUAAAUGUACAACAGCGAGUCAAAGUAUCCAUAACAAUCUGCAUUGAGAUUGUUGCAGAUACUGUUAUAUUUACUCUCACAGGUAACUUUAACUGUAGAUAAUCUCUUAUCUUG